GUCUCGCCCUUGCCUCCUGCUCCCUCAAUGCCGUGACUCCUCGCUUGCCUCGCUGCUCAGCCGCUCGCCGUCGACGCCGCCAAACUUUGGCUGAAGAACUCACAUAAUCACGAUUUCCAGCUCCUAGAAUAUUGGCAUUUAAGGAGGGAAGCUGUACAUAGUGAAUGAGAAGAAUGAUUCUGAAUCAAGGGGUUCAAAGUCUAUAUCCAUAUUGGACGGUCUAAUUUCUGGUAACAUGGAGAAAAUUCCUCCAUCACCAGUUAUCAAGCAAUUGGCUGUGGCUGUAGAGUAAGUCUUUAUUAUCUACAAGAUAGCCAUUAUAACUUU